UGCCCGCAAGGGAAUGUAGUGAGAGGUGCUGCAUGGCUGUCGUCAGCUCGUGUUGUGAAAUGUUGGGUUAAGUCUCGCAACGAGCGCAACCCCUAUCGUCUGUUGCCAGCACUAAGUUGGGCACUCUGACGGGACUGCCUGGGUUAACCAGGAGGAAGGUGGGGACGACGUCAAAUCCUCAUGGCCCUUAUGUCUAGGGCUACACACGUAAUACAAUGGCGCGUACAAAGGGAAGCGAACUCGCAAGGGGGAGCAAAUCUCAAAAAGCGCGUCUCAGUUCGGAUUGGAGUCUGCAACUCGACUCCAUGAAGUUGGAAUCGCUAGUAAUCGGAGAUCAGCACGCUCC
rnacentral:rRNA from 1 species